rnacentral:miRNA from 1 species
UCACUGGGUGUCUGACAGGUCU